GCCCUUUUUAUGUUGUUCUACUAGUGGUCACACACACAAAAGCAGUGCAAUGUUAAAAAGGCAU
rnacentral:pre_miRNA from 1 species